rnacentral:piRNA from 1 species
UUAAAGGUAAUUGCUUUUGACUGCUUGAGU